UUCAGUUAGUUGACAAGGCAACAUUUCUAUAUUUCAACAUUUCAUAUUUUUGUUAAAAAAAUUUUUUUUUAAGUUUAUGUAAUAUUUAAAUUUACAUGUUAAACCUUAUUUCAUUUAACAAAAUUUGUUUCCCCCAUAGGUUUAACUGUCACUGCAUGGAAAAGAGCUGUAUAAACAUUCUUCAAAUAUUCUCUUUUUUUGUUCUGUGGACCCUAACCCAAACCCACUGCUUUAAAACUAAACUAUCAUGUACACUCUUUCUGAAGACACAAAACAGCACAAGCAGCCCGAUCUGAACUGUUAGGCUCACGUCGCUCAAAAGAAGCUACAUUUAGAAUUGUUAGGUCCUCAUGGCCUUAAAGUGUGUAUUUAGAGUGAGUAGAUGUAUAGUAUUUUUUUAAGAGGGAUUUUUUUUUCUCAGAUCUUUUCUUGUGUGCUCAUGUCCCCGUAUUCAAAUGAAAUGUUUAACUGUUUUGAUUUCUCCAAUGUUGUAUGUUGCUCCGACCUGAACUACUAUAGAUGGAUGUAGUGUAGAGGGAGUGCUGUGAAGAUGAAUUUGUUUCUACACACCACCAUAAAAUUAUGUUUGAAAUUCUAUAAAUGUUCACAUUGUGUUUUGUAUGGAAAUAGAAAAUCACCACCCUCUUUCAAAGGUCUUACCUGUUAAAAGCCUGAAAACGAAGUCAAAUUCCAGUAUCUGGAUAUAAAUCAUAACUCGCAGCGUUUCUGAAAACAAAUGCAAAAAAAUAAAAUAACUAGGUUAGAAAAGAGAACACCCCCUUGAGUUGCAGCAAAUAACAAUUUGCACCCACAAGUCACUGCAGUACGCAUCCUGAACUAAACAAAAGUAACCAACUGUAUCAGGAGGCGGAUCAUGUGACAUCUACUACACAUUUGCAUAAAUUUAACCUCAACUUUGCUCUUUAUUCUAAUGGCCAACUCCUACUGAAAAUGAAUGAUGUAUUGCUGCAAAUCAAAUCAUCCUUUAGGGAAUUAUUCCAGCUCUGUUGUGAAUGUCCUCAACCAAUGGUUUUGGUAAAAAAUUAGGUCAGGACGUGGCAACUAAAGAACUUCCAAGAUAAAAGCUGCAGAUUUUGUCUGUAUUUGGCAUCAUCUGCUUACUUUCUUAUCCUGUCAAGAGCCCAAGUGUCAGCUGUUGAGAAAUUUAGGACGCUGUCAUGCUGUGUGGAGGAAGCGCUUGAUCUUGAAGCCGUGCACCUUGUACCUAAUGAGGGUGUUGACUGAGCUCCAUAAACCCUUUAAAACGUUUGGAUACCCGGCUCCUGACUUGUGCCUUCUCAUAAAAGUAUCCUUAUGUUCUUUAAAAAGCACAUUUUGGCCCAAUGUAAAUUGCUAAUCUGUGCUGUAACCAAUUUCCAUAUAGUACUUGCUAGAAAUAGGAGGAUUUCUGUAUUUCUACACUUAUUUCAAUUUCAUUAUUGUCCACAAAUUCUGAUUGGUUAAACCUAACUGGUGUUUUAUGUAACAAAAUGUUUAUAUAAUAACUUUUAUUUACAGCAUCCUGCUUGAAAGUGUUAGUUCAUUUUCAUUCAGAUAGUCAAGAAAUUUUUCAUUUGAUUGAUAUAUUUUCACAUACAUUCACACUGAAUGUAUAGCAAGUAUUAAUCUGUUAAUAUUUGUAAAUGAGUAAAAAUUAAAGGAAUAGUUCACCCCAAAAUUUAAAUGUGCUUAAAAUAUACUCACCCUGAGGACAUCCAAGCUGUAGAGAAGUUUGUUUCAUCUUCAGAACAGAUUUGGAGAAGUUUAACAUUCCAUCACUUGCUCAGCAAUGGAUGCUCUGCAGUGAAUGGGUGCCGUCAGAAUGAGAGUCCAAACAGCUGAUAAAAACAUCACAAUAACCCACACCACUCCAGUCCAUCUGUUAACAUUGUGUGAAGUAAAAAGUUGCUUGUUUGUAGGAAACAAACCCAUCAUUAAGGCUUUUUAAUUUAAAACAGUCCUCUAUUCUCCAAAGAAAAGGUUCUCGUCUGAAUCAGGAGAGAAAUAUACACAGAUCAAGCACUGUUUACAAGAGAAAACAGUCCAAAAGAGUUCUAAACAAAAUGUGUGGGUGGAUUUUGGUGUUAGAUUUUUAACUUGUAUUUUGGCCAGAAGUUUAAAGUUAAAAAGCCUUAAUCCAAAUCUAAAGCCUUCUCCAAAUCUGUUCUGAUCUCAUCUACAUCUUGGGUGGCCUGAGGGUGAGUACAUUUUCCUUUAAGUGUUUGCACAUUUCUUCUUACUUUGCUAAAGCUUUUUCUUUAAAACAACUUUUUACAGCAACAAAUAGAGAAUUUUGAAAGAGGGUGGUGAGAUAGUUUACCAACUAGAGCCAGGGGUCAGCUUUAACCCAGCUUAUCAUCCUGAAUCAAUCUUUUUAUUGUGUGCGUUCCUAUAGAGCAACUCUGUAGCGUGUUACUGUGAUCAAGCCUGGUGCUCAGGUAGCUUCAUGUGAAAACCAGGUGCACAUCAAACCUCUGAGAAAACAUCACAUGUUGUAUACUACAAGGCUAUGACUGAUAAAUUGUAUAUUUUUAAAAAGAUAUAACUUAAAAUGUUUAUUAAAAUCUUUGGUGGGGGGGGGGGGGGAUUUGUGUUUUAAAAUGAUCUGGUGGAUUAUGUUUGUGUUUGCCACUUAGAAUUCAUGUUUUCUGUACUGCAUGUCAUAAGAGAUGCAUAUGUUUAUGUGCAGAUAUCUAUAAAGAGCUUUUAUCAAGAGUAUAUCUCAGAUGUUCAGCACUAAUAUUUAUGUUUCUAUUUUCUUCGUUCAGUUUUGAAUCACAAAACUAGUUUUGAAUUACAAGUAUCUACAUAUCUGUUUUUUUUUCAAGGCAUUAUUGGAAAUGAUGUCAUUCUGUGCUUAGACACAGAAAUUACAGAAAAGCAGCAAAAAAUGUAUUUAUACAUCUAUUUAUUCAUACAGAGUAGGAGAAUGCAAAGCUUUAUUGUAUAGUUUGCACAGCUGUUUAUUCAUUAAGAUGCGCUGAUCAAUUACAGUCUUUUCUUUGUGCACACCUGCUCUGACAUGUUGAUGGGAUCAUUCAAUUCAUGUACGCUCCUCUACCACGCACCACGUCAGCCAGAAGCUGUUCAUUUGCUAGGUUAAAUUAGUAGGUAGCAAAAUAUUUGUUUCUGAGGACAUAGCGACACAUUUAGUCCCAGCAAGGGGCCGUAUUCUGACUGUGAAGUUGUGAAACUGCACUGCAUUUUUGUGAAAAUGCACCAUAAACUCCAUCCUUGAGUCCAUGCUUUCCAUCUAACAUGAACUUCUUGACUUCAGUUUCAAACUCCCAGAAGUUCAUUUUAAAAAACAGAAGCUAAAAGUAUCUGUCUGGAAAAAAAAAUGCUGAAUUUCAUGUAUAAUUUCUCAAAAUAUUGCCUAAAAGCAAUGGUCCCAUCUAAUAGGUUUUUACAAUCUAUAUUUGUAUUGAGCACUAUUAUGAAGUUUUAUAUAGUGUAAAGACACUUGAUACGUUCACAUUCAUAUCCUGUAUAUGCAAUGUCACUUAAUCAUAUCUCAACAAUCAUUAAACGUACAGAAAAUAGAA